rnacentral:rRNA from 1 species
AUUGAACGCUGGCGGCAUGCUUUACACAUGCAAGUCGAACGGUAACAGGCCGCAAGGUGCUGACGAGUGGCGAACGGGUGAGUAAUGCAUCGGAACGUGCCCAGUCGUGGGGGAUAACGCAGCGAAAGCUGCGCUAAUACCGCAUACGAUCUAUGGAUGAAAGCGGGGGACCGUAAGGCCUCGCGCGAUUGGAGCGGCCGAUGUCAGAUUAGGUAGUUGGUGGGGUAAAGGCUCACCAAGCCGACGAUCUGUAGCUGGUCUGAGAGGACGACCAGCCACACGGGGACUGAGACACGGCCCAGACUCCUACGGGAGGCAGCAGUGGGGAAUUUUGGACAAUGGGGGCAACCCUGAUCCAGCAAUGCCGCGGGCAGGAAGAAGGCCUUCGGGUUGUAAACUGCUUUUGUACGGAACGAAACGGCUCUGGUUAAUACCUGGGGCUAAUGACGGUACCGUAAGAAUAAGCACCGGCUAACUACGUGCCAGCAGCCGCCGCGGUAA